GACAGAGGGGGCCAGCGUUAUUCGGAAUUACUGGGCGUAAAGCGUGCGCAGGCGGUUUUUUAAGUCAGAUGUGAAAUCCCCGGGCUUAACCUGGGAACUGCGUUUGAAACUGGAAAGCUUGAGUGCGGCAGAGGGGGGUGGAAUUCCACGUGUAGCAGUGAAAUGCGUAGAGAUGUGGAGGAACACCGAUGGCGAAGGCAGCCCCCUGGGUCGACACUGACGCUCAUGCACGAAAGCGUGGGGAGCAAACAGG
rnacentral:rRNA from 1 species